UGAAGGCCUAAUGGCUCCAGGUUCUGGCAGAGCUUGGUGAAGACAUGGUUCGCAGAGGAUAAAAUGUUCUUUUGCUCCCUGUCACUAAUUUAACUUGGGGAGUGGAGCUUUAGCUCAAGCAUACCCAGUGAUUGCAACUCUAAUGGACAUUACAUAGAGGGAGAAGUAAACGUUUUACAGCCAGCUCCUAAAACACCACCCCAAAACUACCAGUCAGGCCAGGGAGAUCAGGGAUCCCCUGCUCCUUUACCUACUUUGGGAUGAUGCCCUGCUUAACAAGCAGGAGGCCCCAUUCUAAGUUUUAAAUGGAAAAUUCAAUGAAUACGUUCUGGCACUGUAAAGGGAAAGCGACUUUACAUAACCCCCAUCUUUGCAGCUUGCAUUGUUGGUCUGCACCAGUUCAUGCUUCUGUAAUGGGCAGCGUUUAGCAUCUAUGCCAGUCUUGCCUCCAUAAUGGAUCCCAUCCUUGUCUCGCUGAAAGCAAUGAGAGCUUGGGGCUGAUAUGGGAUCCAAGUUUUAGCUUAUGACAUUUCCUUUUGGGGAGUAGCCAGAAUGUGAUCAAAGCUUGUUUGGGUGUGAAAGAUGGUGGGCUCUGAGCAGACCAUUUGGCCUCAAUCCUUCCCUCCAUGGCUAAAUGGGAAUGCUUAACGUGUGUGAUGACGGGUUUCUGGAGGGGGAAGUUUUUUAAGCAUCCUGGGUCAGGUUGUAUGGUUCUAAAUAAAGAAAGAAAUUCCCAUUGGUUUCAAUAGCAGUUCACCUAAGGGAAGAAGUCUUGAUUUUUGCCUUGCCAUAAGCUCUUCCUGAUAUGCUAGUUCUUUUGAGUAUGUACCAGGUAAGGUCAUACAGCAGCCUCCUUCCCCCUGUGACAUUGAUAGUUCAGUGCCAGUGGGAAAACUGUGUCAAUGGGAUCUUAUUCUUCCUUCCUGAGACUUUCUACCACAUUUUUUUUGUUAUAUUUAUUGGAAAUUACACUUGCUAGUAGAGCACUUAGAUGCUCCCAAUUCAUUUUCCUUUAACUACCUUCUCACAAGGUCUGAGGCCCCAGCCUCUCUCCUGUUGUUUGAGCCAGAAGCUGUUGGUGAGACUUUCUUUACAGCCUGAUAGUGCCGCUCUCUGACCUUGUGGACUGUUGUUUAAAUGCAGCAGUGGGCUCCAUCUUGUAUGGAGCAAGCUGCUUCUGUAGCUUUCACAGAUCUGAUCGGUGGAGGAGGAAAACAGACUAAGGAAAACACAACCCAGGUGUGCUCCAGGGCACAGGGUACAUCUACAGCAGCUGGUCUGCCUUUCUCUCUGCAAGAUCCAAAGAAACAACCUCUUCCCAGAUGAUGGUACACAGCUUCUCUGGAAGCAAAGCUUCCAUAUGAGAGAAGAAAAUCCCGGGGCUGACAUUUUCAUAUGUGUUCGGGUUCAACAAAUCAGGAGUGUGACUUUUGGUCAGAUCAUUUGGCUCUGACACUUUCUGUGUUCAUUAUUAACAGAGAGCUGAAAUAAGCAGGCUUGGAUUCUGUAUCCCUGGCUUGCCAGUCUGGGGUUUAUCUUUAAGCCUACAACUGUAGCCCUUUUUUUCUCACAGAUGGAGACUGAUAACAGAUGGUUUUUGAGGAAAAGGCACCAAAGACACUAAUCCUCAGCAGACAUCGUUCUCUUUGUAACUGCUGAGUCUUUCUUCUUGGAUCUUGUGGCUUCUUCCUCAGAAGACUGUUGAAGGAAUACCUCAUAAAGGGUGAAUAUUCAUCUGUUUCUUGGGUACUGUCUCAAAUGUGGAUGGCAGUAAGCGUUGGAAAUGGUCCCAAAGUCCAAGGCCAACAUCACGAAAGAAUUUCGUGCUUUGUUUGACUUGCUUGUUAGUGGGAGUCUCACUCUGAUAUUGAGUCUCAUUCCAGUGCCCUGCUGCUACUCCUCCUUGCAACACGCACCAUGAGGCUCUGUUAGUGGAAGGAUUUACAUAAGAGGAAUGAAGGUGCAAUUUGGCUCCACCGGAGUCAGUGACAAAACGCCUGUUGACUUCAGUGGGAUGAUGAUUGGACCCCCUAACGUCCAUGACAAGGCCUGGGAACAAGAUAUGACUCUCGCAGUAAUUGUAGCCAUACCUCAUUGUUCCCCAUAAUGGGGGUGAUGAGGUCCAUACAGGCUGCCUGUUCUGUCUGAAAAUCACACCAGUUAAAUUUAAUGUGGAACCUUCUGUUAUAUGCCAUGUAGUAGAAGAUGUGAAUUGCUGAUUUUGAUGUUCUCUCUGGCUAGAAAGCUGACUUUGGGAGAUGAUAAAAAGAAACUGCACUGAGUAGUUCUCCGAUGGAGUUUGGCUUGACUCGGUCUCACUUUUUUUCUUAACUUUUUGAUUGAUGAUCAUCAGUUUAUAAGCAGAGUGUGUCUGUGCUGCUUCUCUCCUGUCCUCAUACCUUACAAUAAGUGCAGAAGAUUCAGUUAACUAGGGACAUAGGAUAGGAUGGAGUCCCUGGGCCUCUGAGUCCAGUCACUUGCUACUGCAGGCAGCCCUGAAGUCAACUCUCUCCUCUGGGGUGUUGCUGCAAGGGGGCAAAAUUUCAUUGCAGAUAAAUAUUCUAUAAUAUAUUUUACCCCUCCCAUGCCUUCUCAUACACAAAUUUUACCUGCCCAGAUAUGGAAACAAAAGAAAUUCCUGCUGCAACCAAUCCAUGUGCCUUUUAAUCAACACCCUGGUACAUGUUAAACACCUAGAAAUAUGUUCUUUUUCUGAAUCCACGAGCCUUUAUUCAAAAGUAAAGUUGUCAAAUUUCAUCCCUAUCCAAUAUUCAUAUCCCCAAUUUGGCUUAGUGGGUAUGAGUGCGUUGCUGAUGUUUCAAAUAAAGUAUCUGAAGAAUUA